ensembl:rRNA 5S_rRNA 5S ribosomal RNA
AUCUAUGGCCAUACCACCCUGAACGUGCCUGAGCUUAUCUGAUCUCAGAAACUAAGCAGGGUCGGGCCUGGUUAGUGCAUGGAUGGGAGGAAAUGCUCACUGGAGUAUUUUUGGAUUUUGGAUU